GACGAACGCUGGCGGCGUGCUUAACACAUGCAAGUCGAACGGAAAGGCCUGCUUUCCCUUGUGGAUUGCGGGUACUCGAGUGGCGAACGGGUGAGUAACACGUGAGUGAUCUGCCCCCAACUUGGGUAUAAGCCUGGGAAACUGGGUCUAAUUCCCGAUAGGACUGCAGGGUGGUGCCUGUGGUGGAAAACGAUUUUCUAGUGGUUGGGGAUGAGCUCGCGGCCUAUCAGCUUGUUGGUGGGGUAAUGGCCUACCAAGGCGGCGACGGGUAGCCGGCCUGAGAGGGUGGACGGCCACAGUGGGACUGAGAUACGGCCCAGACUCCUACGGGAGGCAGCAGUGGGGAAUAUUGCACAAUGGGCGGAAGCCUGAUGCAGCGACGCCGCGUGGGGGAUGACGGACUUCGGGUUGUAAACUCCUUUCGACCGCGAGGAAGCCACCUGGUUGGAAGGGUGGUGACGGUAGUGGUAGAAGAAGCACCGGCUAACUACGUG
rnacentral:rRNA from 1 species